rnacentral:rRNA from 1 species
CAUGCCGGUCGAAGAUACCAGGCCGCUGCGACUGUUUAUUAAAAACACAGCACUCUGCAAACACGAAAGUGGACGUAUAGGGUGUGACGCCUGCCCGGUGCCGGAAGGUUAAUUGAUGGGGUUAGCGCAAGCGAAGCUCUUGAUCGAAGCCCCGGUAAACGGCGGCCGUAACUAUAACGGUCCUAAGGUAGCGAAAUUCCUUGUCGGGUAAGUUCCGACCUGCACGAAUGGCGUAACGAUGGCGGCGCUGUCUCCACCCGAGACUCAGUGAAAUUGAAAUCGCUGUGAAGAUGCAGUGUAUCCGCGGCUAGACGGAAAGACCCCGUGAACCUUUACUAUAGCUUUGCACUGGACUUUGAAUUUGCUUGUGUAGGAUAGGUGGGAGGCUUUGAAGUGGGGACGCCAGUUCUCAUGGAGCCAUCCUUGAAAUACCACCCUGGCAACUUUGAGGUUCUAACUCAGGUCCGUUAUCCGGAUCGAGGACAGUGUAUGGUGGGUAGUUUGACUGGGGCGGUCUCCUCCCAAAGAGUAACGGAGGAGUACGAAGGUGCGCUCAGACCGGUCGGAAAUCGGUCGUAGAGUAUAAAGGCAAAAGCGCGCUUGACUGCGAGACAAACACGUCGAGCAGGUACGAAAGUAGGUCUUAGUGAUCCGGUGGUUCUGUAUGGAAGGGCCAUCGCUCAACGGAUAAAAGGUACUCCGGGGAUAACAGGCUGAUACCGCCCAAGAGUUCAUAUCGACGGCGGUGUUUGGCACCUCGAUGUCGGCUCAUCACAUCCUGGGGCUGAAGCCGGUCCCAAGGGUAUGGCUGUUCGCCAUUUAAAGUGGUACGCGAGCUGGGUUUAGAACGUCGUGAGACAGUUCGGUCCCUAUCUGCCGUGGACGUUUGAGAUUUGAGAGGGGCUGCUCCUAGUACGAGAGGACCGGAGUGGACGAACCUCUGGUGUUCCGGUUGUCACGCCAGUGGCAUUGCCGGGUAGCUAUGUUCGGAAGAGAUAACCGCUGAAAGCAUCUAAGCGGGAAACUUGCCUCAAGAUGAGAUCUCACUGGGAUCUUGAAUCCCCUAAAGGGCCGUCGAAGACUACGACGUUGAUAGGUUGGGUGUGUAAGCGCUGUGAGGCGUUGAGCUAACCAAUACUAAUUGCCCGUGAGGCUUGACCAUAUAACACCCAAGCAAUU